UCGAACGGCAGCACGGGAGCAAUCCUGGGUGGCGAGUGGCGAACGGGUGAGUAAUACAUCGGAACGUGCCCAGUAGUGGGGGAUAGCCCGGCGAAAGCCGGAUUAAUACCGCAUACGACCUAAGGGUGAAAGCGGGGGAUCGCAAGACCUCGCGCUAUUGGAGCGGCCGAUGGCAGAUUAGGUAGUUGGUGGGGUAAAGGCCUACCAAGCCUGCGAUCUGUAGCUGGUCUGAGAGGACGACCAGCCACACUGGGACUGAGACACGGCCCAGACUCCUACGGGAGGCAGCAGUGGGGAAUUUUGGACAAUGGGCGCAAGCCUGAUCCAGCCAUGCCGCGUGCGGGAAGAAGGCCUUCGGGUUGUAAACCGCUUUUGUCAGGGAAGAAACGCUCCGGGCCAAUACCCUGGAGUAAUGACGGUACCUGAAGAAUAAGCACCGGCUAACUACGUGCCAGCAGCCGCGGUAAUACGUAGGGUGCGAGCGUUAAUCGGAAUUACUGGGCGUAAAGCGUGCGCAGGCGGUCAUGCAAGACAGAUGUGAAAUCCCCGGGCUUAACCUGGGAACUGCAUUUGUGACUGCAUGGCUUGAGUGCGG
rnacentral:rRNA from 1 species